rnacentral:rRNA from 1 species
UACGGGGGGGGCAAGCGUUGUUCGGAAUUACUGGGCGUAAAGGGUUCGUAGGUGGCCAACUAAGUCAUACGUGAAAUCCCUCAGCUUAACUGGGGAACUGCGUCUGAUACUGGUUGGCUUGAGUGCAGGAGAGGAACGCGGAAUUCCAGGUGUAGCGGUGAAAUGCGUAGAUAUCUGGAGGAACACCAGUGGCGAAAGCGCGUGACUGGGCCACAACUGACGCUGAGGAACGAAAGCCAGGGGAGCGAAAGGG